AUAGCCCGUCAUCCCAGCGAAGGCUGGGAUUUCAGGCACCAGAUCCCAGCCUUCGCUGGGAUGACGAAUUGA
rnacentral:sRNA from 1 species